rnacentral:rRNA from 1 species
UACGUAGGGCGCAAGCGUUUAUCCGGAAUUAUUGGGCGUAAAGAGCUCGUAGGCGGUUUGUCGCGUCUGCCGUGAAAGUCCGGGGCUCAACUCCGGAUCUGCGGUGGGUACGGGCAGACUAGAGUGAUGUAGGGGAGACUGGAAUUCCUGGUGUAGCGGUGAAAUGCGCAGAUAUCAGGAGGAACACCGGUGGCGAAGGCGGGUCUCUGGGCCGGUACGACGCUGAGGAGCGAAAGCGUGGGGAGCAAACAGG